GACGUAGGGGGCCAGCGUUGUUCGGAAUUACUGGGCGUAAAGGGCUCGUAGGCGGCCAACUAAGUCAGACGUGAAAUCCCUCGGCUUAACCGGGGAACUGCGUCUGAUACUGGAUGGCUUGAGUUUGGGAGAGGGAUGCGGAAUUCCAGGUGUAGCGGUGAAAUGCGUAGAUAUCUGGAGGAACACCGGUGGCGAAGGCGGCAUCCUGGACCAACACGGGCGCUGAGUGAGCGAAAGCCAGGGGAGCAAACGGG
rnacentral:rRNA from 1 species